UUCAAACUCUUUAUACAGUCACUCCCGCGCACCACUCCUCAUACACAUCUCAUUGUCGAUUCUCCUGCUCGAUUGUAGUCAACAAAGUCGCUCCUUCUCCGUCAUCGCAGUCGCCUGUGUCGCUUUUUCGACCAAGCAUCAGCGGCACUUCGAGAAGUACUUGGGCCUCCAUUGUUAGCACCACCAUCACCAUUUUUCUGCUACUACCAGUUCGCCUAUCUUCAAACAACCCCGAGAUCAGGAGUUCAUUAGCUCACAAUGAGGAGGCUAGUGGAACUAGUAAUUCCAGUGGAGAUGCAGUCAGAUGUUUUGAAGGAAUAAGUGGGUAGAGAAGUACACGUAACCCCACAAAGAAAAUAAAUGUUCCCUUCUCCAAUGAGACACACGUAACCCAACAAUGAAAAUAAAUGUUCCCUUGUUCAUGGUCCGAGCAUUUUGGACCCCGUUAUUGAAAUUGAUGAAUUCUCUCCUGAAAUGAGACACAUUGGGUCCCACAAUAUAGGUAGUGGUAGUGAUGAUGGCUCAGAUGUAGCGCUAGACAAGUUGAAGCAGAUGAGAUGUUGGCUCGUGAGCUCCAAGAACAAUUAUAUAAUGAGGCACUGGGAGUUAGAGAUGGCGAAAUUAAUACAGACAUAUAGCAUUGGCAUGGCAACAGGAGGACAAUGUGUUUUCUAGUGGAAGUCACCCUAUUUUCAAUCCUGUAAGUAGGGAUCUUAUAUUUUAUAGUAGUAACAGUUGUACACAGUAAGUAGGGAUCUUUAUAUUUCAAUCCUGUUUUCAAAUUGAUGACUGUGAUACAAUUGGUAAUUUUCUUCUUUAUGUAGUAACAGUUGUACACAAGUAUUAUAAUUAGUUCUAUGAUUUAGCUGAUGCAUUAUAUGAUUUUAGUUUAUGAGCUUAUUUCGAAUCAUAUAUUAUGCAUGAAUAGUGCAGAUUUUGAGGUGAAAGAUUUUUAUUUAUGUUGCAUCUUUGAGUUACUUUACCACAGGUCCAUGUUUGAGGACAUGGCCACCAAUUGUUUGGUUAAAUUUCUCAAUGCCUAUUAUCAUGUUAAAUUUCUCAAUGCCUAUUACCACAGGUCCAUGUUUGAGUUA